rnacentral:lncRNA from 1 species
UUGAUUCAUCCUUGGUUGCCUUCCUCUUCUUUGGCCUCUUCCUUCAUUCAAGUUCAUUGUCUAUUUUAGAUUUUUGUUUAAUAAACUUAUUAAGAUUUAGUGUUCGAAAUACAAGUUCAUCAUUGUCCUCAUCACUUGAGUCAUCGCUCAAGUGGCAUUCAUUUGUCCGGAGUUCCAAAUCCUUCCUAUUCUUUGGAAGGUGAUUGUGUUCAACAUGUUCAUCAUGUGCAUUGUGCACCAUUUCAUAUGUCA